rnacentral:rRNA from 1 species
UACGUAGGGUGCGAGCGUUAAUCGGAAUUACUGGGCGUAAAGCGUGCGCAGGCGGUUUGGUAAGACAGGCGUGAAAUCCCCGGGCUUAAACCUCGGGAACUGCGUUUGUGACUGCCAGGCUAGAGUACGGCAGAGGGGGGUGGAAUUCCACGUGUAGCAGUGAAAUGCGUAGAGAUGUGGAGGAACACCAAUGGCGAAGGCAGCCCCCUGGGUCGAUACUGACGCUCAUGCACGAAAAGGCGUGGGUAAGCAAAACAGGAUUAGAAACCCCGAGUAGU